CUUGAAACACGGACCAAGGAGUUUAUUGUGUACGCAAGUCAUUGGGUGAAUAAAACCCAAAGGCGUAAUGAAAGUAAAAAGUAGAGUUAUGUAAAAAUAUUGAAAAGAAAUUUUCUUAUUUUUAAUUUAUAACUCUCUUUAGGGAAGAUGGAAAUCACCAUUUGUAUAUUUUAUAUUAAAUGGAUUAGAUUUCUCGCACUCCCGGGGCGCUUGUUUCACGCUUUGCGUGUCAAUGCGCACCUAGAGCGUACACGCUGAUACCCGAAAGAUGGUGAACUAUGCCUGGCCAGGACGAAGCCAGGGGAAACCCUGGUGGAGGUCCGCAGCGAUUCUGACGUGCAAAUCGAUCGUCGGAGCUGGGUAUAGGGGCGAAAGACCAAUCGAACCAUCUAGUAGCUGGUUCCCUCUGAAGUUUCCCUCAGGAUA
rnacentral:rRNA from 1 species